rnacentral:rRNA from 1 species
GACGAACGCUGGCGGCGUGCUUAACACAUGCAAGUCGAACGAAGUGGCGAACGGGUGAGUAAUACGUGGGUAACCUGCCCUCCUUUUUGGGAUAGGCCUUGAAAACGGGGUCUAAAACGCAAUAAGGGGGAUGGGCUCGGGUCUUAUCUGCUUGUGGUUGGGGUGAGGGCCUACCAGGGCGGUGACGGGUAGCCGGCCUGAGAGGGUGAUCGGCCACACUGGGACUGAGACACGGCCCAGACUCCUACGGGAGGCAGCAGUGGGGAAUAUUGCACAAUGGGCGCAAGCCUGAUGCAGCCAUGCCGCGUGUAUGAAGAAGGCCUUCGGGUUGUAAAGUACUUUCAGUCGGGAGACGUUACCGACAGAAGAAGCACCGGCUAACUCCGUGCCAGCAGCCGCGGUAAUAC